AGACACUGUCUCUUAAAAACAAAAAAGGUCUUAAAAUUCUGUCCUUCUAACUGUACAUUUUAAGGUUAUUUGUAUCUUAUACACUUGCUGUUGUGGCUUUGAAUAGGUCACUAUGAACAUUGAUCCAAUGAGUGAUUUUAGCCUAUCAAGUCAUUCUUAUGACUCCAUAAAUACUAGCUUCAGCUUCUUGUAUACUAUUGCCUCUGAGCUAUUGUAGAUAGAGCUUUGAAACCUCUCUCCAGCCCCAGUUUUCGCUGUCAGGACCACAGCGAGGUUCUCCAGCAAGUGGCUUGAACCCUAAGGGCUCCUUCCCUCUACUCUGGCUUCACAUAGACCUUC
rnacentral:lncRNA from 1 species